rnacentral:tRNA from 1 species
ACAGAUUGUAGCUUAUAUAAAGUUAGUUAUUUACACUAAUUAGAAAAAUUUCAUUUCUUUCUG